rnacentral:lncRNA from 1 species
GCCCAAUGUAGCCAGCCAUUUGGAGGUCGCCACCUCCUCCUUUGGGGAGGUCCUACUGUCAAUAGAGGGGAUGGACAGCUGGCUGCUGGAAGGGACAGCUGCCAGCAGCUUGAGCAGUUACCAUCAUUUAAGAAACCCCAAACCCCCCUCUCUGUCCUCCUCCUCCUCCUCCCACAGAACGGAGUCUGAGUCUCAGAACCGUCGGCCUAGGCGUUGAAGCAAGGAUCGUCGCUAGUACUCCCCAGAAGCUAGGUAAGCCCCAUGCCUUCUCUUCUCCUGAUUUAUUCAGAAUAACAAAGAAAGAAACAAAGAAAGAAACAAAGGAAGAAAGAAGGGAGGAAGGGGGCUGCUGGCAGGCCGAGGGCCACCGGCGACGGCCACCGGCUUCGGCCGCGAUUACUGUCGGCACGGGCGUCGGCUGCUGGCAGGCCGAGGGCGUGGCCGCAGGCUCAGCCGCAGGCACGGCUGAGGACGCCGCGAGCCCGGCCACGGGCACCGCCGGCCAUGGCCCGGCCCUCCCAAGCGCGCUUCCG